rnacentral:rRNA from 1 species
CCUACGGGUGGCAGCAGUAAGGAAUAUUGGACAAUGGUGGCAACACUGAUCCAGCCAUGCCGCGUGAAGGAUGAAGGCGCUAUGCGUCGUAAACUUCUUUUGAACGGGAGAAACCCCUCGUACGUGUACGAGGCUGAUAGUACCGUUAGAAUAAGGGUCGGCUAACUUCGUGCCAGCAGCCGCGGUAAUACGAAGGACCCGGGAGUUAUCCGGUUUCAUUGGGUUUAAAGGGGACGUAGACGUAAUGGUUGAAAUCCUGCAGCUUAACUGCAGAACUGCCAUUGAUACUGUCGUUCUUGAAUGCAACUGAUGUGGGCGGAAUGUGCCAUGUAGUGGUGAAAUACUUAGAUAUGGCACAGAACACCGAUUGCGAAGGCAGCUCACAAAAUUGUUAUUGACGCUGAUGCACGAAAGCGUGGGGAUCAAACAGGAUUAGAUACCCGGGUAGUC